rnacentral:rRNA from 1 species
GACGAACGCUGGCGGUGUGCUUCACACAUGCAAGUCGAACGAGGUAGCAAUACCUAGUGGCGGACGGGUGAGUAACGCGUGGGAAUCUGCCUUUAGGUGGGGGAUAACGGGUCGAAAGACUCGCUAAUACCGCAUAUGACGAAAGUUGAAAGGAGUAAUCCGUCUAAAGAUGAGCCCGCGUCCGAUUAGCUAGUUGGUAGAGUAAAAGCCUACCAAGGCGACGAUCGGUAGCUGGUCUGAGAGGAUGAUCAGCCACAAUGGGACUGAGACACGGCCCAUACUCCUACGGGAGGCAGCAGUGGGGAAUUUUACGCAAUGGGCGAAAGCCUGACGUAGCGACACCGCGUGAGCGAAGAAGCCCCUUGGGGUGUAAAGCUCUGUCAGCUGGAACGAAAAAAUGACGGUACCAGCAGAGGAAGCAUCGGCUAACUACGUGCCAGCAGCCGCGGUAAU